AACACGAAGUGAGUGGCGAACGGGUGAGUAACACGUGGGUAACCUGCCCAGAAGUAGGGGAUAACACCUGGAAACAGAUGCUAAUACCGUAUAACAGAGAAAACCGCAUGGUUUUCUUUUAAAAGAUGGCUCUGCUAUCACUUCUGGAUGGACCCGCGGCGUAUUAGCUAGUUGGUGAGGUAAAGGCUCACCAAGGCAGUGAUACGUAGCCGACCUGAGAGGGUAAUCGGCCACAUUGGGACUGAGACACGGCCCAGACUCCUACGGGAGGCAGCAGUAGGGAAUCUUCCACAAUGGACGCAAGUCUGAUGGAGCAACGCCGCGUGAGUGAAGAAGGGUUUCGGCUCGUAAAGCUCUGUUGUUAAAGAAGAACGUGGGUAAGAGUAACUGUUUACCCAGUGACGGUAUUUAACCAGAAAGCCACGGCUAACUACGUGCCAGCAGCCGCGGUAAUACGUAGGUGGCAAGCGUUAUCCGGAUUUAUUGGGCGUAAAGCGAGCGCAGGCGGUCUUUUAAGUCUAAUGUGAAAGCCUUCGGCUCAACCGAAGAAGUGCAUUGGAAACUGGGAGACUUGAGUGCAGAAGAGGACAGUGGAACUCCAUGUGUAGCGGUGAAAUGCGUAGAUAUAUGGAAGAACACCAGUGGCGAAGGCGGCUGUCUGGUCUGCAACUGACGCUGAGGCUCGAAAGCAUGGGUAGCGAACAGGAUUAGAUACCCUGGUAGUCCAUGCCGUAAACGAUGAUUACUAAGUGUUGGAGGGUUUCCGCCCUUCAGUGCUGCAGCUAACGCAUUAAGUAAUCCGCCUGGGGAGUACGACCGCAAGGUUGAAACUCAAAAGAAUUGACGGGGGCCCGCACAAGCGGUGGAGCAUGUGGUUUAAUUCGAAGCUACGCGAAGAACCUUACCAGGUCUUGACAUCUUCUGACAGUCUAAGAGAUUAGAGGUUCCCUUCGGGGACAGAAUGACAGGUGGUGCAUGGUUGUCGUCAGCUCGUGUCGUGAGAUGUUGGGUUAAGUCCCGCAACGAGCGCAACCCUUAUUACUAGUUGCCAGCAUUAAGUUGGGCACUCUAGUGAGACUGCCGGUGACAAACCGGAGGAAGGUGGGGACGACGUCAAAUCAUCAUGCCCCUUAUGACCUGGGCUACACACGUGCUACAAUGGAUGGUACAACGAGUCGCGAGACCGCGAGGUUAAGCUAAUCUCUUAAAACCAUUCUCAGUUCGGACUGUAGGCUGCAACUCGCCUACACGAAGUCGGAAUCGCUAGUAAUCGCGGAUCAGCAUGCCGCGGUGAAUACGUUCCCGGGCCUUGUACACACCG
rnacentral:rRNA from 1 species